UCACCAAGCUCGAGGACGCUACGGCGCCCGGCAGAGGUGCCUUUCACGGGAGGCAUUCGGGGAGUUAACGCCCCCGCCAACUCGAGUACGUGGGUCGCCCACAACAUGACCAACGAGGUGACAGUAGUAGGGUGGGCCGUCACGCUCAAUGGGAGGACUUCGGUCCGACGAUGACCCAACGUAAAUGGGUACAGGACGUAUAGCUCUGGCUAGCGACCCGGCCCUGGGAGGUGGCUCGGUAGGCCGGCAUGCCUUGCUGCACCCAGUAUGAGUGAAGGUCCUGGGAAGGGUGCCCGGCCCUGACUGAACCGUGUAAGGUCGGGGGGAUACUGUUUGGCGGGCCAAUACUUCU